UAUCUCUGCCCCCGGUUCCGGUAUGAUUUGUUGAUAUUGCUUAGAUGGAA
rnacentral:tRNA from 1 species